rnacentral:rRNA from 1 species
GAUGAACGCUGGCGGUAUGCUUUACACAUGCAAGUCAUACGGAAGUUAGUUUCGGCUAACUUCAGUGGCGGACGGGUGAGUAACACGUGAGAAUUCGCCUUUAGGAGGGGGAUAACAGGGGGAAACACCUGCUAAAACCCCAUAUGCCUUCGGGUCAAAAGAGAAAUCUGCCUAAAGAGAAGCUCGCGGCUGAUUAGCUAGUUGGUGGGGUAAAGGCCUACCAAGGCGACGAUCAGUAGCUGGUCUGAGAGGAUGAUCAGCCACACUGGAACUGAGACACGGUCCAGACUCCUACGGGAGGCAGCAGUGAGGAAUUUUCUGCAAUGGGCGAAAGCCUGACAGAGCAAUACCGCGUGAGGGAAGAAGGCUUACUGAGUUGUAAACCUCUGUUACCUAAGGAGGAAGAUCUGACGUUACUUAGGAGACGAAGCAUCGGCUAACUCCGUGCCAGCAGCCGCGGUAACAC